GAAAUAUAUAGAGAGAGCUCUACAUUUUCAUUUUAAUGGCUAUGUAUAUUGGCAUUCCAUUGUGUGGAUGUACCUCAUCCAGGUUCAUGUGAAGUGUCCAGCUGACUGCAGUCACGCAAGAGAUUCUAGUGAAGAGGAAGAACCAUGUGAAGAGGAAGAACCACCAACUGAGCCUGGCUAACUCUCAGAAUCAUGAAAAUAAAUAACUGAAACACUAAGGCAAUAUGUACUCACCUGUCCCUGAAGGAGAAAACCCAGAAGUGUCUUUCAAUGAGAACAUCAAGUUCAAAGAGCAGAAUCUAUGGGUGAUACAGUGUAGUCCCUACAUCAGGAAGAAACAUGCUUCAUGUCUGAGUGUGGCUCUGCUUGAUCCAAAAAACUUCUGAACUAAAAAGGCAAGUCAUCAGUUCCCUAAACAUCCAGUAUACACUGGUAAACUUGUGUUCAGGGUAACCUCAAUAACUAUUCCCUGGAGAAAA